rnacentral:tRNA from 1 species
GGAUAUAGUUUGAUACAAGGAAUAUGUAGGUUCGCAAUCUAUAGGCCGGGGGUUCGAAUCCCCCAUGCUCCA